rnacentral:rRNA from 1 species
UAACGAAUCUUCCCCAAUGCACGAAAGUGUGAGGGAGCGACGCUGCGUGGAGGAUGAAGUCCUUCGGGAUGUAAACUCCUGUCAAGGGAUACCAAGUUCUGAGGAUCCCUAAAGGAAGAGGCGGCUAACUCUGUGCCAGCAGCCGCGGUAAGACAGAGGCCUCAAGCGUUAGGCGGAAUCACUGGGCUUAAAGCGUGUGUAGGUGGAUUCCUAAGUGCCUUGUGAAAUCCCACGGCUCAACCGUGGAACUGCUGGGCAUACUGGGAGUCUUGAGCCAUCUAGGGGCAACUGGAACAGACGGUGGAGCGGUGAAAUGCGUAGAUAUCGUCUGGAACGCCAAUGGUGAAGACAGGUUGCUGGGGAUGUGCUGACACUGAGACACGAAAGCCAGGGGAGCAAACGGGAUUAGAUACCCCCGUAGUCC